rnacentral:misc_RNA from 1 species
AAGUCGUAACAAGGUUUCCGUAGGUGAACCUGCGGAAGGAUCAUUAAACAAAAUAUGCGCCGUUGUAGCGUCUGAAACAAUCGUAUCCGUUAGGAUGCGAUUGAUUCAGACCUACUAGGUGCAUCAACCAAGCAUUGUGCAUGAGUGAUCGUAAGAUCAUUCAUGCAUGAUGCCUGAAUUGAUGCUAUUGAUAAAUACACUAUCCUUACGGAUACUGUAUUUAUCAUGACACAACUGUGAUGAAGAUCACAUAGUGCACUCCUAGCGUCUUCGACACUAGUAGCGCACAUUGUGAUCUUCAUGCAGAUACACGAUUAAAAAUUGACAAAAAAGACAACCAAAAAAAUUCACUUUUAACAAUGGAUCUCUUGGCUCUU